AUCUUGCCGCAGUCUUCAAAGCAUGCGUUGCCUUGGAUCGUUUGUGGUGAUUUCAACAUGCAUCCCGACUUUCCGGUUUAUGAAAUGCUGAGACAUGGAAAAUUGUUCGUCGACAGUGUUGAGAAGUUAAAUCCAGCAAAGUGGAAGUACCCUGAAGUUGUUAAGCAAAAUGAGGUAGGUCCCCUGAUUUUUGGCAGGCUUUUAGCUAGAAGGGCAUCCUGGGACACCCUACAAUGAAAAAUGGAUGCCCAAGUUGGGUUGUUUUUUUUUUUGGGGGGGGGGGGAUUUUGUUAAUGAUUUUCCCAAAUGUAUUAAUACUAGGUACAUCUAGCCUGCGCGCAGACUAUAUAAUGACAUAUAUAGUCUGCGAAUCUGUGGCAUGAAGCUUGUAUGGUCAUGUGAAUUUCCCAAGAAAAGUUGGGACGAAUUGUGAUUGGUUGAACUAUAAUUAUGCAGAAUUAAUAUACAAUUACUUUAUGGUUUCCGUGUUUGGAUGGCCUGAUCCAAACACGCGGGAAUGUUGCGAGGGUUAAGAAAAGCGAGCGAAAUCACGAGCCGAAGGCGAGUGAUUUUGCCCACUUUUGACCAAUCAGAAUACGCGUUAUGUACAUGUUAUUUUAUAAUGUUAAUUCAUCGGACACUGCGUUCGCAACGCGCGUUGAGCUGUUCAAAAUUGACCGUUUCCAGAGUCAAGUGACAAUGUUUAUAUUACAGUUGUAUUUAUAGAAGUGUGGCGAAUAAACAAGAAAGGUCGUUGUAGAAGAAAUCUAUAAUAUUACAUCUUUUGUUUGGCGAAAUGGGCUUUCCGUUUUGAAAACAACGGCCUGUUUUGUUUAUCCGCCACACUUCUAUAAAUACAACUGUAAUAAACAUUGUCAUUUGAAUCAUUUGACCUUGGAAACCUUCAAUUUUGAACAGCCAACGCGCGUUGCGAACGCAAUGUCCGAUGAAUUAACAUUAAUUCUGCAUAAUUAUAGUUCAACCAAUCACAAUUCGUCCCAACUUUUCUUGGGAAAUUCACGUGACCAUACAAGCUUCAUGCCACGGAUUCGCAGACUAUAUAUGUCAUUAUAUAGUCUGCGCGCAGGCUAGGUACAUCUGAAUUGAAAUAGAUUCAAUUUUCAGUAUUAUUUUAACCCUUUAAGUGGCAAUGCGCCCCAGUUUGUUAUUUUAAUAUUUUAUGUUAUAUAAUACCUUAUUGAAUUCUGAUCAUUUAAGGGAGUGGUCAUUAUUUAUGGGAGGGGGGCAAACAAAGUUUUACCCUUAUAAAUAAGGGGGUCAAAAAAGUUUUAACACAGAGAAAGGGCGGGUCAUAAAAGUUUUUGAACUUAAAUACCAUGUCUAGAGUUCUGAUUUCUAUAAUCACAAAUAGCAAAAAAGAAGACUCUGAAAAUGCUAUUUCCAACGAUCUAGAGACUCAAAAUUUCCCUGCUCGGCGCCAACCAUGGUAGCGCCUCGCGAUUGUGGGAGUUGGGCCCACUAAGUUUAACAAGCUUUCUACCCCCUGAGUGACCCAGUUGUGGUAUUUACAUAAACAUACCAUGCAACUACACUUAACUGAUCAGAUUCAGUCUAUCAAUGCACAAUGUAAUGCUGUAUAUCCAAAAAUCUGUUUCAGAAAAUGCUCACAUUUCAGUUCUAGGGGUGGAAAAGUACAAAAAAUUUUCUGGGGGAGAAUACCUCCAGACCCCCCCUACUAGUACAUACGAUACCACACCAAAAUAUUUGUCACCAACAACCAUCUGUCGUCUCUACACACUCAAUAUAGUAUGGUCCCUUUUUGUAGAUGCCCACCCCCAGACAAGUUCUUAAAAUCUCAUUUCGCUGUAUGAAGGCGGGUCAUGGGUUAGGGUUAUGGUAGGACAAAUGUUGCAUUGCAAAGUAGUAACACAUAAUAUAUAUUUUUUAAUCAUAUAUGGUUGAAUCAUAUUCACCAGGGGCCAGUUGUUCAAAGCUGGGUUAGCUUAACCCUAGGUUAACCUAAAAUUCAAAGCAAACUUCCUGACAGCUUGUCUAUAAAUUUGGAAAUAUUUCUUCAGAGAUCUUGUCUGGAUGGAUAGGAGUUUACUACUCUGAAGUUUUGAAAUAAACAGACGUGCAGAAAUACACAAACUAAAACAGCAGGUUAAACUUUUAAGGUUACAGAACACCUUUGAGUGUUAAUUUUGCCUAAAAUUUUUUUAUUGGUUCCAUGAAAGCAUUAGACUAGUUCUACUAUCUGACCAAGUUUGAACGAAAAAUGUUGAAAACUCGCAGAGUUAUUUAAUAAAAUACAUUUCGCUGCAAUAAGAAAAACAUUGAAAAUGUAAUAUUCAAAUUCAAUUUUCUCCCGAAAAAGUUUGCGGUAAUUACUGAUUUUCAAACGAGUUGUGCUCCUGCGGGUUUUGACCAAUUUUUCUCAAAUUUUCACAGGACAUAGCUAAAGACGUCAGUUUCAAAAUUGUGUUCGGUUUUUUUGUUAAUUUUGGAUAUUUUAAUAAUAAAGAGCAAUUCACUCAAACAAUUCAGAAAUAUAUUGCAGUCGUCAAAGAAAUCGCCAUAUCAGCGGAAUGACGAAAUAAACAAAAAAUUCCGAACACGAUUUUUUAGAACAACUAUUUUACUGUAUAAAAAUGAUAUUUUCAUAAAUAUAACUUAAAACCAGCAGGAGCACAACUCAAAAGCGUAAAGGUACCGCGAUUUAAGAUUUUCCUGAAUAAUUCUUAUAUUAUUUUAUUGUUUGUUAAUUUUACAACAUUACCAUAUUUUGCAUGCACUGGAGAACAUUUGGUGAAAAUUUGAUUCAAUUCGGACUGAUAUUGAGCGCACAGUAGCGAUUUUCCGCAAAACGCCAAAAAGGGUGUCCUGUAACCUUAACCCAGGGUUAGCGCUAACCCACCUUUGAACAACCGGCCCCAGGGUAAAACAUCAUGAGCUAGAUUAAACAAAUUGUCCUAAUAUCUAACUUUACCUGCAAUGCACACCUGUUUCAUUGCUGUUAAUUUUUCAAUCCACACUGGGGGGGGGGUCAGAAAAGUUUCUACUUUUAUGAGGGGGAGGCACAAAAAGUUUGCCUUCAGUCUGGAGGGGGGUCAAAAAAGUUUUCAAUCCUUAUUUUCCCCAUUUCCCAACCCCCCCCUCCCCAUAAAUAAUGACCACUCCCUAAUUGGUUUUAUGGUGAUAUUGAAUAGAAAAUUCCAUUUCCCAAGAGUGCAAUGGAAUACCUUCCAUUGCACUCUUGGCGAGUGCAAUUCUACUAUACGUUUUAUUCCAUUGCACUCUUUGUGUUUUUGAUAAAUCGCAUCCGUCAAAAUGCUUCUCGUACAGUGAUCGCAGUUUAUUUUAACCCGAUAUUCGAAACUCAGUAAAUGGGAUUUAAUGCAAAUACGACUCGUCAAAAUGGCGGCAGCUUACACUAGUAAACCUUUUAAUAUCAGUCUAUUUUGGUAUUAUAUAAAACAAAUAAUGAAUGUUUUUAUUCGUGCAAUGGCAAGAAUAUUUUCAUUCGGUGAAAGAUGGAAUGUUCCAUUCAACUCGGCUGUCGCCUCGUUGAAUGGAACAUUCCACCUUUCACCUCAUGAAAAUAUUCUUACCAUUGCACUCAUAAACAUUCAUUAUUUGUAUACUGUCUUAACGCCAGAUGAUUUUACUCGUCAGGGGGUGAGUUCUAAUCAAUUUGAAUGAAAAUGCCGUAGUUAAGUAACGAAGCAUAGCGGCACAAUGUUGCACAUACCAUACUACACAAUGUUACACAUACCAAAAAUAAUAUUUUUUUGUAUUGUCAGUUUAUUUAGGGCCUAUAAUAUAUCAAAAUUAAAUUCAGCAUACUUGAAUAACUAGAAGUUACUAUCGCAAGGAAAAUGCUGCCAAUACAUCUCACAUUUUACAACUUUGCUCGCGCACACUUGCAAUCAGUAACAAAACUAAUACAUGUAAUUAAUAACAAACGUCACAUAAACAAAAUUCAAGAGCACAGCAAGGUUCGAAAUAACGGUUCGUGAUUCGUGAAUCACGAAUCAAUUUUCAUUUUUCACGAACCCAAUUUCAUAGAAAUUGAUCAAAAUCACGAAUCAUAAGUCUCUCAAAUUGAUAAAAAUAUACAAUAAUAAAUUCAGUUCUUUGUAAAUGUGAUGAAGGAUCAUAUAUUCUGAAGAUAUUGUUGUUAGAUUGUACUUAAAAACGAUUAUAAUUCCACCUAAAAUUAUAUUUCUUUGCGAGUUUGCGAUGUAUUAUUAUAUAUUUGAAAAUUGCAGUGCUUCCACUUUGUAACUUCCAAUUAGAGAAAAUUCCUUGAAAAUUCCUUAAAAUUUCCUUAAAAUAAAAAAUUAGUUCACGAACCAUUUUUUCAGAAUUAAUUCGAACCCUGCACAGUAUGAACUGUCUGUGGUUCAGUGUGUUUACGUGGAGGUAGGAUAACCCUAUAGCAGAAGGAUUACCCUAUUCUACUGUGUUUGCGCGCUAGGGUAAGCCCAACCUCGCAAACCAGGGUCUUUACUUCCGCAUGGCGUUGCUGUAAAGACCCUGGCUUGUGGGGUUGGGGUAAGCCAGGUUUUAUGUACAGUAUAAUUUAUUGAGUAUCAUAAUUAUAAUAUUAUGUGAUUAAUGUAUAUUUCUUUUAUAAUUUGCAGAUUGUAAACUACGACAGCGUUGUUCUGCGAAAACACAAGAAAAGUUUGACGCAUCCAUUCAAGUGUUCAAAAAGCGCAUACAAAAGUGUUUUGGUAA